ACUCACUCCCUCAAAUUUUGCCUGGCCACCCCGCCAUCAUCGGCCAUGUAUGUAUAUUUCUGGUUGAGACUGUGCCAUGAAGACAAGAUUCUAGGCAAUUACCAAUUUCCAUUCCAGUGACUUGUGUUACUCCUAAUUUAAACCAGUGUGAGAUUAGAUUUUGCCAAAUCCCUGCUGAAAACAAACCAGCAAAAAGACAAAAAACCUCCACUUUGAAACCUUUCCUUAUGGUGAUAAGGGAGUGAUGUACCUGAUAUGGAAGAAACUACCAUUUCCAUAAAAUUGAUGCCCAUGUCUGAACAAGCCCAUUAUACUUCAUCACAGGUGAGUGACCCGGCAGGUUUUUGUCACAGUUAUCAGCCCCUCUAUAUAAAGGCCAGAGCUGCCAGCUCAGCUCACAAGAUGAGGACAUCCCACCAGACAGGUUGGCUGCCUCCUACGGAGCUGGUGCUCCCGCUGCAGAGAUCUUGAAAGCCAUAAUCUUCUCCGGAAAUGGCAAGGUACAGACGCAGCAGGAGCAGAAGCAGAAGCCGUCGCAGAAGGCGACGAAGGGGAGGCCGCGGGGGUCGACGUGGAAGGAGGAGAAGACGACAUGGCAGAAGGAGAAGAGGUCGUAGAGGUAGAGAGAGAACUCGCAGGAGGAGGAG